rnacentral:rRNA from 1 species
AGCGUACACGGUGGAUGCCCUGGCAGUCAGAGGCGAUGAAGGACGUGCUAAUCUGCGAUAAGCGUCGGUAAGGUGAUAUGAACCGUUAUAACCGGCGAUUUCCGAAUGGGGAAACCCAGUGUGAUUCGUCACACUAUCAUUAACUGAAUCCAUAGGUUAAUGAGGCGAACCGGGGGAACUGAAACAUCUAAGUACCCCGAGGAAAAGAAAUCAACCGAGAUUCCCCCAGUAGCGGCGAGCGAACGGGGAGCAGCCCAGAGCCUGAAUCAGUGUGUGUGUUAGUGGAAGCGUCUGGAAAGGCGCGCGAUACAGGGUGACAGCCCCGUACACAAAAAUGCACAUACUGUGAGCUCGAUGAGUAGGGCGGGACACGUGGUAUCCUGUCUGAAUAUGGGGGGACCAUCCUCCAAGGCUAAAUACUCCUGACUGACCGAUAGUGAACCAGUACCGUGAGGGAAAGGCGAAAAGAACCCCGGCGAGGGGAGUGAAAAAGAACCUGAAACCGUGUACGUACAAGCAGUGGGAGCACAGAGCAAUCUGUGUGACUGCGUACCUUUUGUAUAAUGGGUCAGCGACUUAUAUUCUGUAGCAAGGUUAACCGAAUAGGGGAGCCGAAGGGAAACCGAGUCUUAACUGGGCGUUAAGUUGCAGGGUAUAGACCCGAAACCCGGUGAUCUAGCCAUGGGCAGGUUGAAGGUUGGGUAACACUAACUGGAGGACCGAACCGACUAAUGUUGAAAAAUUAGCGGAUGACUUGUGGCUGGGGGUGAAAGGCCAAUCAAACCGGGAGAUAGCUGGUUCUCCCCGAAAGCUAUUUAGGUAGCGCCUCGUGAAUUCAUCUCCGGGGGUAGAGCACUGUUUCGGCAAGGGGGUCAUCCCGACUUACCAACCCGAUGCAAACUACGAAUACCGGAGAAUGUUAUCACGGGAGACACACGGCGGGUGCUAACGUCCGUCGUGAAGAGGGAAACAACCCAGACCGCCAGCUAAGGUCCCAAAGUCAUGGUUAAGUGGGAAACGAUGUGGGAAGGCCCAGACAGCCAGGAUGUUGGCUUAGAAGCAGCCAUCAUUUAAAGAAAGCGUAAUAGCUCACUGGUCGAGUCGGCCUGCGCGGAAGAUGUAACGGGGCUAAACCAUGCACCGAAGCUGCGGCAGCGACGCUGAUGCGUUGUUGGGUAGGGGAGCGUUCUGUAAGCCUGCGAAGGUGUGCUGUGAGGCAUGCUGGAGGUAUCAGAAGUGCGAAUGCUGACAUAAGUAACGAUAAAGCGGGUGAAAAGCCCGCUCGCCGGAAGACCAAGGGUUCCUGUCCAACGUUAAUCGGGGCAGGGUGAGUCGACCCCUAAGGCGAGGCCGAAAGGCGUAGUCGAUGGGAAACAGGUUAAUAUUCCUGUACUUGGUGUUACUGCGAAGGGGGGACGGAGAAGGCUAUGUUGGCCGGGCGACGGUUGUCCCGGUUUAAGCGUGUAGGCUGGUUUUCCAGGCAAAUCCGGAAAAUCAAGGCUGAGGCGUGAUGACGAGGCACUACGGUGCUGAAGCAACAAAUGCCCUGCUUCCAGGAAAAGCCUCUAAGCAUCAGGUAACAUCAAAUCGUACCCCAAACCGACACAGGUGGUCAGGUAGAGAAUACCAAGGCGCUUGAGAGAACUCGGGUGAAGGAACUAGGCAAAAUGGUGCCGUAACUUCGGGAGAAGGCACGCUGAUAUGUAGGUGAAGUCCCUCGCGGAUGGAGCUGAAAUCAGUCGAAGAUACCAGCUGGCUGCAACUGUUUAUUAAAAACACAGCACUGUGCAAACACGAAAGUGGACGUAUACGGUGUGACGCCUGCCCGGUGCCGGAAGGUUAAUUGAUGGGGUUAGCGCAAGCGAAGCUCUUGAUCGAAGCCCCGGUAAACGGCGGCCGUAACUAUAACGGUCCUAAGGUAGCGAAAUUCCUUGUCGGGUAAGUUCCGACCUGCACGAAUGGCGUAAUGAUGGCCAGGCUGUCUCCACCCGAGACUCAGUGAAAUUGAACUCGCUGUGAAGAUGCAGUGUACCCGCGGCAAGACGGAAAGACCCCGUGAACCUUUACUAUAGCUUGACACUGAACAUUGAGCCUUGAUGUGUAGGAUAGGUGGGAGGCUUUGAAGUGUGGACGCCAGUCUGCAUGGAGCCGACCUUGAAAUACCACCCUUUAAUGUUUGAUGUUCUAACGUUGACCCGUAAUCCGGGUUGCGGACAGUGUCUGGUGGGUAGUUUGACUGGGGCGGUCUCCUCCUAAAGAGUAACGGAGGAGCACGAAGGUUGGCUAAUCCUGGUCGGACAUCAGGAGGUUAGUGCAAUGGCAUAAGCCAGCUUGACUGCGAGCGUGACGGCGCGAGCAGGUGCGAAAGCAGGUCAUAGUGAUCCGGUGGUUCUGAAUGGAAGGGCCAUCGCUCAACGGAUAAAAGGUACUCCGGGGAUAACAGGCUGAUACCGCCCAAGAGUUCAUAUCGACGGCGGUGUUUGGCACCUCGAUGUCGGCUCAUCACAUCCUGGGGCUGAAGUAGGUCCCAAGGGUAUGGCUGUUCGCCAUUUAAAGUGGUACGCGAGCUGGGUUUAGAACGUCGUGAGACAGUUCGGUCCCUAUCUGCCGUGGGCGCUGGAGAAUUGAGGGGGGCUGCUCCUAGUACGAGAGGACCGGAGUGGACGCAUCACUGGUGUUCGGGUUGUCAUGCCAAUGGCACUGCCCGGUAGCUAAAUGCGGAAGAGAUAAGUGCUGAAAGCAUCUAAGCACGAAACUUGCCCCGAGAUGAGUUCUCCCUGACUCCUUGA